GACAGAGGGUGCAAACGUUGUUCGGAAUUACUGGGCGUAAAGCGUGUGUAGGCGGCUACGUAAGUCGGAUGUGAAAGCCCGGGGCUCAACCCCGGAAGUGCACCCGAAACUGCAUAGCUUGAGAAUCGGAGAGGUUGGUGGAAUUCUCGGUGUAGAGGUGAAAUUCGUAGAUAUCGAGAGGAACAUCGGUGGCGAAGGCGGCCAACUGGACGAAUUCUGACGCUGAGACACGAAAGCGUGGGGAGCAAACAGG
rnacentral:rRNA from 1 species